GUAGGGAAUAUUGGGCAAUGGAUGGAAGUCUGACCCAGCCAUGCCGCGUGCCGGAUGAAGGCGCUCUGCGUUGUAAACGGCUUUUAUUCGGGAAGAAGAGUAGGGAUGCGUCCUUAUGUGACGGUACCGAAUGAAUAAGCACCGGCUAACUCCGUGCCAGCAGCCGCGGUAAUACGGAGGGUGCGAGCGUUGUCCGGAUUUAUUGGGUUUAAAGGGUGCGUAGGUGGCUUAAUGAGUCAGUGGUGAAAUACGGUUGCUCAACAAUCGAGGUGCCAUUGAUACUGUUAAGCUUGAAAUAAUUGGAGGCUGCCGGAAUGGAUGGUGUAGCGGUGAAAUGCAUAGAUAUCAUCCAGAACACCGAUUGCGAAGGCAGGUGGCUACGAUUUAUUUGACACUGAUGCACGAAAGCAUGGGGAGCAAACAGGAUUAGAAACCCGAGUAGUCC
rnacentral:rRNA from 1 species